rnacentral:misc_RNA from 1 species
UUUGAGAAGGAGGUGAAGGAAAGGAUUAAAGUCACCCGGCAAGUUGUUGCUGAGGCGAAAGAGUCAUUUGAUAAUCAAUUGAAGAUUCAGAAGCUGAAAGAUACAAUAUUUGCUGUCAAUGAGCAGCUAAUGAAGGCGAAGAAGCAAGGUGCUUUCUCGAGCUUGAUUGCUGCCAAGUCUAUCCCGAAGAGCGUGCAUUGUUUGGCAAUGAGGUUAAUGGAUGAGCGUAUCACUCAUCCUGAUAAGUAUACAGAUGAUGGGAAGCCUACUCCACCAGAAUUUGAGGAUCCUAGCCUUUAUCAUUAUGCAAUCUUCUCUGACAACGUUCUUGCUGCUUCAGUUGUGGUGAAUUCAGCAGUUAAAAACUCGAAUGACCCAUCGAAGCAUGUGUUUCACGUGGUGACUGAUAAAAUGAAUCUUGG